UACGUAGGGUGCAAGCGUUGUCCGGAAUUAUUGGGCGAAAGAGCUCGUAGGCGGUCUGUCAACGCUUGCUGUGAAAACUCGGGGCUUAACCCCGGGCCUGCAGUGGGUACGGGGCAGACUAGAAGUGCGGUAGGGGGAGACUGGAAUUCCUGGUGUAGCGGUGAAAUGCGCAGGAUAUCAGGAGGAACACCGGUGGCGAAGGCGGGUCUCUGGGCCGUAACUGACGCUGAGGAGCGAAAGCGUGGGGAGCGAACAGGG
rnacentral:rRNA from 1 species